AUGCGAUAUGAUGGAAGUUUGCAAAGCACACGUUUGCCAUGCAUGCUUGGUAGUAAGCUGAAGUAACGAUGAAAAAAUGCGGUAAUUUCCACCUCUUUUACUCAUAACUGAACAGUGCCGAGGCAGCGAGCGGUGAUGGUUCGGGUGAUGCGUCGUCUCCAUCGGACCGGCGAGCCAGAACCCAUGAAGGAGGCCAUGCGCCGGCGGGAGGACAGAACGGUGCCGUUCCAUGCAGGAGGCUUUUCUAACGGCUGAAUCCCUGAUUGAAUCCAGAGCUCACACCUCCUGUCAUAGCAUCUCACUGGUGCAGACAGCUCUCUCUGCUUCGCUUGCUCUGACUCCGAUGGCGAAGUCCAGGGGACCGCAAUCCCGAAGAGGCAGGUAGGAGGAGAGUCUGGGGAGAGCGAGCUGGGAUGGCAAAAGCAGGAGGCAGAAUCAGAGAGUGAAAAGGAUCUUGCAGAAUAGCAAGAAAAGGAGUCGUGGUGGUCUGCAGGGGAUGGAAAGGGGAGGUAGAAUCGCAGCACUGGAGAGAUGAACGAACGUAAGAAGGAGAAACAGAGGAACUGAAAGACUGGAAGGAAUAAGGCCAGUGUUUCUGCGGUGCGCGUCAGUUCGAAGACAUGCACUUUGGUCUUCACGGUGCACCAGCCACAGAAACACCCCCCCCCUCAUGGAAGUGAAGCG
rnacentral:lncRNA from 1 species